GAUGAACGCUAGCGGCAGGCCUAAUACAUGCAAGUCGAGGGGUAGAAGAGGCUUGCUUCUUUGAGACCGGCGCACGGGUGCGUAACGCGUAUGCAACCUACCUUCAUCUGGGGGAUAGCCCGGAGAAAUCCGGAUUAAUACCGCAUAAAAUCACAGGAUGGCAUUAUCCAAUGAUCAAACAUAUAUGGGAUGGAGAUGGGCAUGCGUGUAAUUAGAUAGUUGGCGGGGUAACGGCCCACUAAGGCGACGAAGACUAGGGGAGCUGAGAGGAUGGGCCCCCGAGCUGGUAAUGGGACACGGACCAGAUGACAACGGGAGGCAGCAGUUAGGAAAAUUGGUAAAUGGGGAGAACUCUGAACCGGCCGAACCGCGUGCAGGAAAACUGCCCUAUGGGUUGUAAGUUUCUUUUAUUCGGGAAUAAACCUUAUUAGGUGUAAUAAGCUGAAUGUACCGAAGGAAUAAGGAUCGGCUAACUCCGUGCCAGCAGCCGCCGUAA
rnacentral:rRNA from 1 species